CCCCACGCGGCCCAGGGCCCUCGUGCCCCCGCCUCGCCCGGCCUGGGCGCCUCCCGCGCGCUCCUUCCUCUCGGUUUAGCUGCGCUGCAGCGCGGGGCCGCAGGUCCCCGCGGGCCGUCCUGAAUUAUUCAUCCGCAGGAAGAUAUUAGAUGUACCCGCUGCCCGCUCCGCGCGAGCCGUCGUGCAAUGCUAUCCGAGCUCCGCGCGCGCCCCGCGCCCCUCCUCCUCCUCCUCACGUCCGUCCUCUCUGAAACCUUGGCAGCGAAGGGGGAUCACAUUUCCUUUGUCAUCGGGCCAUUUCGCCCUCGCCUUAGUCCCCCCUCCGAUCCCGAGUCGCGGGGACGGAGCCUCCUCCGGGGCGCGCAGGAAUCAGUGGAACCGGCAACGGCCCAGCGCGGCCGCUGGGGAGAUGAACGCCCCCAAGCUUCAGUGUGACGACCUUUGAAACCUUCCUAGCGAGGAACGGAGAGAGACUCCGGUUUAUUUAAAAAAAGAAAAGAAAGGAAAAAUUUCAUCCUGAAUCCUGGUUCAGCAGGAGCUGAUAUCCACUGCCCGCAGCAACCUGGAAGAAUCUCAGAAACAUCACGUUAGGAGGAAGACGCCAAACACGACAGCGCAUAUUUUGUGGUUCCAUUUACAGGAAAUUCUAGAACAGGCAAAAGAACUAAGCUGUGGGGAUAGGAAAAUUAUCCUUGGGGGUGAAGGUGUAUCGACUGAAAGAGGGGAAUAAGAGAACCUAAAGUAAUGAUAUAGAAAUAUAUAUUGGUGUCUACAUUGGUCAAAACUUGUAAAUCUGACAUUUUAAGAUCUAUGCAGAAUUUCACUGUGUUUAAAUUCUAUUUCAAUAAAGU